CGUUCCGCUCCCGCCCCGCUCGGUCCCGCCGUGCCCCGGAGAUGCUGUCGGGGCUGCGCCGCCGCCUUCCCCCUCCGGAAGCGACCCACGGCGGCAGACCCGACGUCGGGCUCUCCAGGAGAUCGUCCCCGGGGUGAUGAAGCUUAUGGAAAAAAGACAGAAUGCAUCGAGGUGAGUACAUUCUACUGAGUUCUGCUUUUCUGGGAUCAGUUUGGGAAAAUCAUGUGAAAUUCUAAAAAGCUUCUCUCCAUGUCUUCUAGUUGUUUUUUCAGCCUUGGUCUAAGUUUCAUGUAGAAAAGGGCAUAGAAUUAGAACAGAUAAACUAGACUUUCUUGGGAGAGAUGGAAGAAAAGUCUGCUGAUUACAGUUCUGCUUUUCUUGUCUUCCCUUAGACUGUCAUUUUCUCUCACCUACUGUUCAAAGAGGCAGCAAUUAAUUCUUCUUCUGAAGAGUUUGCUGUACUAAGUGUCUGUCAAAUUGAUGCCUUCAACUCAAGAUAGCACAUACUUCUUAGUU